AGUCAUCCCGGUAGGCACUGAGUCGUUCCACGAUGGACGUGAUGACCUGGCACCAAAACCGCUUAAUGUGUAUGAAGCUGUCUGCAUCGAGGGAAGAACCCAGCACUGAAGUGACACAAAUGAAAGAAGAGGACUUCUGCUCUGCUGGGUCUGCGACACUACUUAUCUGAGGAGUCCUCAAACAUCAGGAUGUAGGAAACUUGUGGUGAGAUGCCAAGAGCCGCCAUGAGGGAUAUGCAACCUGCAGCUUCACUGUGCUUUUGGAAGAUCAUCUACUACGUGAACCUUGAGUAUCUACAAGCCAGCUACUACAAGGUCCUGUACAAACUGUCAAUCUAAAUGUUGCGACAUCCCUGUCAGUUCUUUUGGACUGAAUACAUGCUGUGUUUGAAAUGUAUUAUUCGGAUAACCACCCAUCAGGGAAUACCUUGUCUGUUAAUGGCGGAUAGACAUGCCAUGGACAUGCAGUGCACACUUUGAUGUUUUUUAUUUUAAUGUUUUCUAUGUUUUUCCAAUGUUCUUUUUUAUUUAUGUUCUGUUAUAUGAUGGUUAUGUAAGUACUGUAUGGAAUGUAGUGACUAUAGAGCCCAAGACAAAUUUCAACCUGGGGACAAAAAGUUCACUCCACUCUGUUAGCGCAGUUAUGGAUGCACUGUAAAUUUUGUAAUUAACCAAAAGUACGGUGAGAAGCCUGUUUGUGCAGAUGGAACUGCUGGCGGGCCUGUUUACUCAUAGCUAAAAAAGCAACAUAUUCUCUGUGCAAAGCACAUGGGCUCUUCGCAAAGGGGUUAAAGGGACACAGUGUGAGAUUUUUUGUUGUUUAUUUCCAGAAUUCAUGCUACCCAUUCAAUAAUGUUACCUUUUUCAUGAAUAUUUACCACCACUAUCAAAUUCUAAGUAUUCAUUAUGACUGAAAAAAAUGCAUUUUUCAUACAUGAAAAGGGGGAUCUUCUCUUGAAUUUCC